UUUAUUCAAAUAUUUUUCAGCCAAGACGACGUAGAUCGAACACGACGAAGUCACGUGAAUGGUCAUAAACGGAAACGGAAGAAGAGACCGAACAAGAGGCGGAAACGUCGAAGGAGAAUGCGAGCAAAGAAACGCAACAAGAAGAAGCGACGAAAGUGGAAGAGAAUAAAGCGUAAGAA